GACGAACGCUGGCGGCGUGCUUAACACAUGCAAGUCGAACGGAAAGGCCCUGCUUUUGUGGGGUGCUCGAGUGGCGAACGGGUGAGUAACACGUGAGUAACCUGCCCUUGACUUUGGGAUAACUUCAGGAAACUGUGGCUAAUACCGGAUAGGAGCUCCUGCUGCAUGGUGGGGGUUGGAAAGUUUCGGCGGUUGGGGAUGGACUCGCGGCUUAUCAGCUUGUUGGUGGGGUAGUGGCUUACCAAGGCUUUGACGGGUAGCCGGCCUGAGAGGGUGACCGGCGACAUUGGGACUGAGAUACGGCCCAGAAUCCUACGGGAGGCAGCAGUGGGGAAUAUUGCACAAUGGGCGGAAGCCUGAUGCAGCAACGCCGCGUGCGGGAUGACGGGCUUCGGGUUGUAAACCGCUUUCGCCUGUGACGAAGCGUGAGUGACGGUAAUGGGUAAAGAAGCACCGGCUAACUACGUG
rnacentral:rRNA from 1 species